rnacentral:rRNA from 1 species
UACAAUGACUCUCGGCAACGGAUAUCUCGGCUCUUGCAUCGAUGAAGAACGUAGCGAAAUGCGAUACUUGGUGUGAAUUGCAGAAUCCCGUGAACCAUCGAGUCUUUGAACGCAAGUUGCGCCCGAAGCCAUUAGGCCGAAGGCACGUCUGCCUGGGUGUCACA